rnacentral:rRNA from 1 species
UACGUAGGGACCAAGCGUUGUUCGGAUUUACUGGGCGUAAAGGGCGCGUAGGCGGCAAUUCAAGUCAUCUGUGAAAUCUCCGGGCUUAACCCGGAACGGUCAGGUGAUACUGUUUUGCUAGAGUGCGGAAGGGGCAAUCUGAAUUCUCGGUGUAGCGGUGAAAUGCGUAGAUAUCGAGAGGAACACCAGAGGUGAAGACGGGUUGCUGGGCCGAUACUGACGCUGAGGAGCGAAAGCCAGGGGAGCAAACGGG